rnacentral:tRNA from 1 species
GAAAUAUUAGGUUAUCUCAAACUUACAGCUUGUCAGACUGUAAAUCUCAUUCAUUAUGAGAUAUUUCG